AAGACUAUACUUUCAGGGAUCAUUUCUAUAGUUUAUUACUAGAUAAGUUUCUCUCUGAAUGUGUAGAGCAUCUGAAAUCUUGAGAAGGAGGCACAGUGUUCUCUCCUGAGUGUGAAGCUGGCUUUUGGUGUUGCUUUUGCAACUGCCGAUAGCCAUUGAUGAUUGUUCUUCUCUUCCUUUGGAAGAGUAAGAGGGAAAGAACACAGUCUGG